UACGAGUGCCUCAAGCGUUAUCCGGAAUCAUUGGGCGUAAAGGAUGUGUAGGUGGUCGUGUUAGUCUCUCGUUAAAUUCUUCGGCUUAACCGGGGGCAUGCGGGAGAAACGGCACGACUAGAGGAUGCAAGGGGUUUCUGGAACUCAUAGUGUAGCGGUGAAAUGCGUUGAUAUUAUGGGGAACACCAAAAGCGAAGGCAAGAAACUGGGGCACUCCUGACACUGAAACAUGAAAGCGUGGGUAGCGAAUGGG
rnacentral:rRNA from 1 species